rnacentral:rRNA from 1 species
CAGGACGAACGCUGGCGGCGUGCUUAACACAUGCAAGUCGAGCGAGGGGCUUCGGCUUCUGGCGGCGAACGGGUGAGUAACACGUGGGCAACCUGCCUCGAGCUCUGGAAUAACCUCGGGAAACCGGGGCUAAUGCCGGAUAUGACGCUACCGGGCAUCUGGUGGUGUGGAAAGAUUUAUCGGCUCGAGAUGGGCCCGUCGGCUAUCAGCUUGUUGGUGGG